AAACAAGUGCCUUCUUCUUAAGCACUCUUCUUUCUCCAUUGAAGAUCAAACUUCUCCUUCACGCCAUUUAGCCUUUCAAAUCAGAUGAAACUUCAAACCCUAGAAAUCUGAAGAAGAAUCAGUUGCAAAAUUACUAAACCCUUUCCUUUCAAUCUUUUUUUUUUUAAAUUUUUUUUGCAAAUCACAAACAUCCUAAAUCGUAACCUGAUCAUACGAAACCUGGUAUGUUAACUCUUAUUAUAUCAAGAUUGGGUACGUUUGAUUCCAUUGUUCCAAGUAUGUUACUCAAUCGCUAAGGUUCCGGCGACCAUUCAAGAGGGUCCGAUGAGGGCUAGGAGACGCCUGCGGUUCUUGCUACUAUGAUGACGAUUGUGUUUAUGCAGCGCCUUUGCUUCUUUUCUGUUCGUUUUUCGCACAACGGGUAUUGUUUAUAUUUUUCGUUUUUAGGUUUUGGAUUCACGUGUGUUUGGAUUUGUGCAUUGCAAUUUCAAUGUUAGAAUUGGGGUUCUUCAAAUGGGAUUUCACGAUUAGGGUUCUAACAGGUUUGAUAAACACAUUUGGUGUUGUUGAGGAUUGAUUUUUUUUGAAUCCUGUUCAUUUAGAUUUUGCAGUUGGGAUUGAUAUUUUUACUAUAACCUCUGGAUUUUAUACUGAGGAUUGUGUUUGCUCUUUUAGUUGAUUUAAAGUGCGACAGAUAAGCUGGAGGGUUAGCAACAUUGUGUAAACUGGAGGGUUCUUAUUCAUAAUCUUCUCCUGAUGUCACUAUGGCUUUAAUUUUAGUUUUUAAACCGCUGGUAUUCAACUUCAUCCUUUUUUUCAUGAUUUGGAACCAGGUAAUUUUGAUUCUAAGGUUCUUUGUAAAUCAAUGGUGUUUAUUUAUUUUCUGUGUGUCGUACAGAAAUCAGCAUCGGCGAGUUAUUUAGGUGUUUCCCUUCUGUUGGGGCUCUGAAACUCUACGCAAGAAAUGGCGUAACAGAAAUCGAUAAGUAGAAAGGAUCGCACCUCAAUGGUUUGUGGUUUUCGCUUAAUCAUAAAUCAUCUCUGAAAAUUAAAUUUGAGAGUAUGACCGUGUAAUCACUUGGGAAAUAGUAAAAGCCACAAAAAGAGGUAUGACCUAAUGGGUGGACGGAGUUGUUGUUAAUCAAAUAUAAAAUUAUUGCAAUGUUAAAGUUAUUCUAAUAUUUUUGUUUAGGAAUUUUAUAAGUGAGUCUGGCUUAAUAUACUGAUGAAACAACUGACCCUAUAAAACUACCGAAACAACUAUUGAAUAGUGCUCUGGAUGCCAUGAACAUAUUAGAAGCAGCAAUAUAUGCAUGGAGAGACAGGAUUGAGGAACAUGUAAGUUAUGAGCAAGAACAUCAUGGUCAUGCAAGGAUCAUGUUUCUGAACUUGACAAGAUUGAGUUGUUAAUAACCAGGGCCGAUGAAACAACUGAUAAAAUUACUAAAACAACUGAUGAAGAGCGCCUUGAUAACCAAGGCUCAUGAAACAACUAACAAAGUUACUAUUUUUUACUAUACAAUAUUGCUUUUCAAUUAUUAUGAUAAAUUUUGCAAGACGUGAUCUUGGAUUUAUAGAAGUGCACUUUCUUUCAUUUAGUCCAACUGAUAAGAUGGCAACUUUAACAUAUAUUGAUGGUGCUAGCAAGAUGCAUAGAGUUAGCAAAGGUGUACGAAAGCAGGUAUCCAAAACUCAUUUGAAUAUCAAAAAUUUAGAAGUCAAAUAUGUGCCAAAAUAUACUAUGUUUACUUUUUUGUUAACUUACUAUCAAUAAUUUUCAAGUCCUUAUAAAUGUUAACACCAUAAAAAUGUUUAGUAUUCUAAAAAUAUUUUGCUAAUCUUGUGUUUGGUUAUACUAAUAUGGUUGAUGAGCUACCCAUGAAAGUACAAUCGUGAGAAAGGAAAAAACCAUCGGUUGCUACUGACGAGGAACGAGAAGUCGUGCAAAUGCCACAUUUGCAUUGAAACUUAAAGCAAAGUGGUAAGCGAUGGCAACCGGUCAUUAUGAUUAAAGUGCUAUCGUUAUUGAUGAUGAUGAAAGAUGGGUCUAACAGCUAUUAGAUUACGAGCUUAUGCAAAAUAAAAGCUUGGAAGACCACAUAUUGGGUCAGUCAGGGACAAGUCAGAAGAUGGCCUUACAUUUGCCUUUCGCUUCACUGAUGCUACAGUUUCUAGCCAGGGUGCUGAUUUGAUUCGUAAAGGACGAAAAAGAAAAAGUCAAAAUGUUCAAGAAGGUUAUGGUUCAGCUUCUGCCCUACCAGAGCAUGGCAUAUACCUAGCAGCAUCUGUAUACCAACCAGUUGUACAGUUUACAGAUCGACUCACGUUAAUGAUGCCUCAAAAGUAUUCUCAGCUAGGGAAUGAUGGAUUGCUGGCCUUUCUUGAAAACUUAGUAAAAGAUCACUUCUUGCCAACUAUGUUUGUGGAUUACAUGAAAGGCAUGCAACAAGAAAUAUCAAGUCCAGCUGCAUUUCGACCACGAGCAAAUCCUGUUACUGCUUACACCCCAUCUGUUUCUAACGGACGUAGUGAUGCAGUUACGCCAGUUGGUAUCGUAAAAGCAAUAGAUGGAUGCAACGGAAGAACUUGAACUUUUGUUUGAUUACACUCGCGGCCAGCCUUUAAAUUUCGUCUUCCUUGACGAUGGUAUGUUAUGUUUCUAAUUGUAUAUAAGUUUUAUUGUCU
rnacentral:lncRNA from 1 species